CAGGUGAAGCUGAGCACGUCUAGACGAACUGCCGUUGACAAACGGAGGAAGGUGGGGAUGACGUCAAAUCAUCAUGCCCCUUAUGUUCUGGGCUACACACGUGCUACAAUGGCCGGUACAGACGGACGCAAAGCCGCGAGGUGGAGCAAAUCCUAAAAAGCCGGUCUCAGUUCGGAUUGCAGGCUGCAAUUCGCCUGCAUGAAGUCGGAAUCGCUAGUAAUCGCAGGUCAGCAUACUGCGGUGAAUGCGUUCCCGGGCCUU
rnacentral:rRNA from 1 species